CGCUGGCGGCGUGCCUAAUACAUGCGAGUCGAGGGAAGGUAUCCGUAGCUUGGAUCCCGGGGUUAGCGGCGGACGGGUGAGUAACACGUGGGUAACCUGCCCAUAAGACUGGGAUAACUCCGGGAAACCGGGGCUAAUACCGGAUAACAUUUUGAACUGCAUGGUUCGAAAUUGAAAGGCGGCUUCGGCUGUCACUUAUGGAUGGACCCGCGUCCCAUUAGCUAGUUGGUGAGGUAACGGCUCACCAAGGCAACGAUGCGUAGCCGACCUGAGAGGGUGAUCGGCCACACUGGGACUGACACACGGCCCAGACUCCUACGGGAGGCAGCAGUAGGGAAUCUUCCGCAAUGGACGAAAGUCUGACGGANCAACGCCGCGUGAGUGAUGAAGGCUUUCGGGUCGUAAAACUCUGUUGUUAGGGAAGAACAAGUGCUACUUGAAUAAGCUGGUACCUUGACAGUACAUAACCAGAAAGCGGGGUCUAACUACGUGCCACCCGCCUCGGUAAUACUUACGUGGCAAGCAUUAAAAAAAAAUGAUUCCACCGCACGGCGCGCGCAGGUGGUUUCUUAAGUCUGAUGUGAAAGCCCACGGCUCAA
rnacentral:rRNA from 1 species